UGCCGACUCCUUUACUCCUUGGCCAAACGUACACUGCCAAUUCCACUAGGGGGCGAUUCAUCUCGUCCACCAGAAAGAGGGGAGGGGGGAAGACGGGAGGGACAGGGCGGCAGCCGGCUGCAGCAUUGCCAAACCGUUUCACAACAUCAUCUCUUUCAACUUAAGGGGACUUGCUAGUUGAAGUUGUUGAGAUAAUAGUUUGCAAAUUUUCUGAUCUUUUUUCUUCAGUUGAAUUUUGGUUUUUGUUCACGAAUGUUUACAUCGGAUGUGAACAGCGAUAGUUUCUU